UACAUUGUUAUUAUUACAUUGUUGUUGUUAUGAAAAAAGUUUUAUCCAUACCUUACUCUAUUACAUAAUGAUUGGUAUUAGUAAUCUUAUUAGUUUGUUUGAUUGUGUUUAGCGAACACUGGAUGGUUAUCUUAAUCCAAACGGGAUCGCAGAUUGUAGUAUUUUUGGAUUCCAAAAACAAAACCAUUCGUCAAGAUAUUAAAAGAUGUGUUCAAACGUAUGUUCUAGUAGUUCAAAGCUCUAAACAUAUUGCUCUAAUUUCCAUUAAUGUAUGUAUUAACUUUAUAUUAUUUAUGUGUAGUGCUCUUGAGAGGUACUACCUUGAGAAAAGAAAUCGACGGUCAGUAGCAAUAAGCUUCACUGAGUACAGAUGUCCAGAGCAACCAGAUAGCAACCAGUGUGGGUAUUAUAGCAUGAGAUUUAUUAAAUAAUUCAUGACUGAAAAUAAUCCUACACGAAAAUUGGAAACAGAGUUUAAAAGGAACAUAUCAUCCUUUUACACUAACAAAGAAAUCAAUGAAAUACGUGACGAAUGGGCAAAGUAUGUCAUGCAGAUGAUAGCAGCAGGCAAAUGACUAAUAACAUAGAGUAUGAUGACCAAUGAUCGCUCAUGGACGAUCCCCGUGUGAUCUAAGAAAAUGAUUGAUAGGUUUGACAUUGAUCUUAGUUACUAUUGUCUUGCUUUUUUAGUUUUUAGGAAGUGAUCUCCAGCUAUUUGAUUAAAGUCCCAAGUGACUACUUGGAGACUUAUUUUGUUCUUAGUAUACAUAUUUUUAGAUGUUCAGAAGAUAUUCUACAAAAGAUUACAAAAUGUAAAAACUUAAUUAGAUUUCAUUCUUUUGUAUUGCAUUACUAAACUUUGAUGGCAUAUUAUGAUUUUCAUGAAGCUUUAAUUCUUUUGAAGAGUGUUAAAUGUAUGAAUUUUCUUAUAAAAAUAUUAUUAUUGUUAUUAUGUUUUUUCAUCAUUGUGUAUUGGAAAUCUAAAUAAUAAAAAUACAAGAGGAGAAUUGAAUUAA